GUGAAUCAUCGAAUUUUUGAACGCAAAUUGCACUCUCUGCGAAUAGGAUGACUAUUUGUGGUUCAGGCUAUAAAAAAUAAACAUCGUUGCUGUUGCUCGGUUUCGUUCGUCGGAACUUGUGUCAUCUUAAAUCCUUUUGGAUUUAAGCGACUUAAAAAUUUCUUUUUGUUUCCAUGAACGUUUCUAAGUUUUAUUUCUUUACACGUUUAAGGGUAUCGAUUUUGAUUGGACGUGACCAGCAUAUCGGAUCGCGUCCAUAAUCUUUCAUUAACUGACCUCA
rnacentral:misc_RNA from 1 species